GACGAACGCUGGCGGCGUGCUUAACACAUGCAAGUCGAACGAGAAUCUGUGGAAAGAGGAUUCGUCCAAUUGAAACAGAGGACAGUGGCGGACGGGUGAGUAAUGCGUGAGCAACCUGCCUUUCAGAGGGGGACAACAGUUGGAAACGGCUGCUAAUACCGCAUGAUAUAUUCGGAUCGCAUGGUCUGGAUAUCAAAGAUUUAUCGCUGAAAGAUGGGCUCACGUCUGAUUAGUUAGUUGGUGAGGUAACGGCUCACCAAGACUGCGAUCAGUAGCCGGACUGAGAGGUUGAACGGCCACAUUGGGACUGAGACACGGUCCAAAACUCCUACGGGAGGCAGCAGUGAGGAAUAUUGGUCAAUGGACGGAAGUCUGAACCAGCCAAGUAGCGUGCAGGAAGACGGGCCCUAAUGGGUUGUAAAACUUGCUUUUANGUGGGAAUAAAGUGAGGGACGUG
rnacentral:rRNA from 1 species